AGAGUUUGAUCCUGGCUCAGGAUGAACGUUGGCGGUGUGCCUAAUACAUGCAAGUCGAACGGUGACUAUUUUGUACCAAUACGAAUGAAAUCAUAGUGGCGAACGGGUGAGUAACGCGUUGGUGAUCUGCCUCGAAGUGUGGAAUAACUUCCCGAAAGGGUAGCUAAUACCGCAUAGUCUCUCAAGGUUUAGAAAAUUGAGAGUAAAGGAUUUAUUCGCUUCGAGAGGAGCCUGCGUCCCAUCAGCUAGUUGGUAGGGUAAUAGCCUACCAAGGCAAUGACGGGUAGGGGACCUGAGAGGGUGGCCCCCCACAAUGGAACUGAAACACGGUCCAUACACCCUACGGGUGGCAGCAGUAGGGAAUAUUAGAAAUGGGCGAAAGCCUGAUCUAGCAACACCGCGUGUGCGAUGAAGGCCUUCGGGUUGUAAAGCACUUUUUGGAGGGAAUAGGAAGGAAGGUACCUCCAGAAUAAGUCUCGGCUAACUACGUGCCAGCAGCCGCGGUAACACGUAGGAGGCAAACGUUAUCCGGAUUCACUGGGCGUAAAGCGCGUGUAGGUGGUUCUGUAAGUAGGGCGUGAAAGCUCCCGGCUCAACUGGGAGAGGCCGUACUAAACUGCAGAGCUAGAGGAUGGUAGAGGGAGGUGGAAUUCCAGGUGUAGUGGUGAAAUGCGCAGAUAUCUGGAGGAACACCAGUGGCGAAGGCGGCCUCCUGGACCAUUCCUGACACUCAGACGCGAAAGCUAGGGUAGCAAACGGAAUUAGAGACUCCGGUAGUCCUAGCCCUAAACGAUGCAGAAUAGGCGUCGGCGGUUUAAUCACCGUCGGUGUCCAAGCUAACGCGAUAAGUCUGCCGCCUGAGGACUACGGCCGCAAGGGUAAAACUCAAAGGAAUUGACGGGUCCCCGCACAAGCAGCGGAGCGUGUGGUUUAAUUCGAUGCUCCGCGAAGAACCUUACCUGGGUUUGACAUAACAGUGGUAGAGAAGUGAAAACGGAUCGACCCUUCGGGGAGCUGUUACAGGUGUUGCAUGCCUGUCGUCAGCUCGUGUCGUGAGAUGUUCGGUUAAGUCCGCUAACGAGCGCAACCCGCGCUGUGUGUUACAAGUGUCACACAGUACCGCCGGUAUUAAGUCGGAGGAAGGUGCGGAUGACGUCAAGUCAGCAUGACCUUUAUAUCCAGGGCUACACACACGCUACAAUGGUCAGAACAAUAGGUUGCCAAGCCGCAAGGCGGAGCCAAUCCUCCAAAUCUGGCCUCAGUUCAGAUUGCAGGCUGCAACUCGCCUGCAUGAAGUCGGAGUUGCUAGUAACCGCAGGUCAGCAUACUGCGGUGAAUACGUUCCCGGGGAUUGCACACACCGCCCGUCA
rnacentral:rRNA from 1 species